UCCAAAAUGGAGUCCUAUGGACAAUGUGGU
rnacentral:piRNA from 1 species